rnacentral:misc_RNA from 1 species
GCACCAUCGGGCAUUGCCCUCCAAGUAAUCUUUUGCCAAUCAAUUCCUAAAUCCUAACAAACCAGAGACAAGGAAACUAAAGAUUAUAUCUCGAGUUAAAACAUAUGCAACCUUAGAAUAUAUUGCCAGUGUCUAGGGCAAAGCUUUUCAGUAUAUUUCAAUUUUCAAACAUUACACAAUCGACUUUGGAUACGAAAGCAGGAGGGCUAAUGCAAGAUAAUUCAUAACCAGCAGAGUGAAGAAGGCCAUGAGGGGGUAAACUGAUGAAACCAAUUGCUCAUGAAAUGUUCCAUCAUGAACUUCUGCCAUACCAUAAUCUCAAAUAGAUGAAGAUGACAAUAUUUGCUAACAUUACACCAUAAGCUCCCUCUUUCCCAAAGUAACAUCUAUUGCGUCCUCAUCCUGCUAUUCUCUGCAGCCCUCACUUGCAAGAAAUAAGGAUGGG